GAAGUGGUUAUUAAAGUCAAUUUGGUUAACGUAUUUAUCACACUCACAUAAUUAUUUUUUUCAUGUGAUUUGAGAAGACCUAAGAUCCACUCUCUUAGCAAAUUUCAUGAAUACAAUACAAUAUUUUUAAGUACAUCCGUCAUACUGUCAUUAGCUCCUCUGAACUUAUUCUAUUCAUUUUAUAACAGAAAGUUAUAGCAUCUCCAUGUUUCCCCACCCCUACACCCCUGGGCAUCCACAAUGCUACUCUCUUUUACUUUGACUUUGAGUUAUUUAUUUAUUUAUGUACUUUUUAGAUUCUACACAUGAGCAGCACCAUACAGUAUUCAUCUUUUUCUAGCUUAUUUCCAUUCGCUUCAUGCCCUCCGGUUUCAGUUUCAUCUGUUAUUACAAAUGGUAAGAUCCUUGCCUCUUUAUAGCUAAAUAGUAUUCCAGCACACACACACACGCACACACACAUCCAUCACAUCACAUUUUCUUUAACUGUUUAUCUGUUGAUGGACACGUAGCUUGCUCCACGUCUUGGGCUUUGUGAGUAAUAGUGUUGAAAUGAAAAUGAGAGUGCAGAUCAUCUUUUCGAGAUACUGACUUUUUUUUCAGAUAUAUUUCCAGAGGUGGGACUGCUGGAUCGUAUAGUAGUUCUGUUUUCAAAUUUUAAAGGUAUCUUCACACUGUUUUCCAUAGCAGCUCUACCAGUUACGUUCUACCAGCAGAAUACAAGGGUUCCCUUUUUUUCACAUCCUCACAAACACUUGUUAUCUUUAGUCUUUUUGAUAAUAUCCAUUCUAACAGGUGUGAGGUGAUAUCUCAUUGUGGUUUUGACUUGCAUUUCUCUGAUGAUUAGUGAUUUUGAGCACUUUGAAUACACCUGGUGGCCAUUGUGUGUCUUCUUUGAAAGAAUGUCUGUUUAGGCCCUUUGUCUCAUAGUAAACUUUUCUGCCAUUUAAUGUGCAUGGGAUCAGUAGUGAUGGCUUCUUUUCCCUUUCUUAUUUCAUUAAUAUUUGUCUUCUCCCCCACCUUUUGUUUAGCUUGGCUAGACAUUCUCUAUUUUUAAUUUAUCUUCUUUUGUCUUAAAUUGCUCUUCUUUCUGUAGCUUCUAAGAAUGUAUAGUUUGUCUGAAGUUAAUAUUGCUACUCUAGCUUUCUUUUGAUUAGUGUUAGCAUAAUAUAUCUUCUUUGAUUCCUUUGCUUUUAACAUAGCUAAAUCUUUAUAUAAUUUGGAGAUCCUGUCCCCUCAAAGUCUUUGCGAAUACCAUAUGACCACAGAAACAUAUGACCAUAUGGCUGGUUGUGGGGUACAGGAGCUAUAGGAAACUCAAGGCUGAUGUUACUUACCUGAAAUAGAGUAAGAUAAUAAGAUGGUUUGGAGGAUUAAAUAAGAUUAAUACAUAUACAGUGAUCAAACAAUUCUUAAUGCUUUUGGCAUUGUUAACAUUCAGUGCACGGAAAUUUUUGUGAUUAAUGUUAAAUAGGAAGUUUGGAUUAGGCCCUCAUAUUUUAGCCUAAGAUUUUCUUGGUUAUUGCUAUCAAACUAAAAAGAAAACUUUUUGAAAUGCUAUUGAAUGAAUACCUUUCCCUUAUAGAGUUAUGAAAUUGGCUACAUAACAUUGUUCUGAUGAUGUGCCCAGAUUAUGUGAUUUAUUUGCUGAAUCUGGCGUCCGUAGUGGACACCAAUUUUGAUGAGUUUGUAGAAGACUUUUUCAUUGGUGAGAGAUAAUUUUCUUUUUCACUCAGUAUUUUAUUUUAUCUUGUUUUAUUUAUGCCAUAUGGAAGUUUCCAGGCCACGGAUCAAGCCCGCACUAUAGCAGCAACCCAGGCUGCCUCAGUGAUAAUACUGGAUACUUAAGCCGCUAUGACACAAGAGAACUCCUUGGUAUUUUAAAGAAAUCAGAAGCAGCAACAUAAGAAAUCAAGCAGUUCUAGAGAAAGGUCUUUACUCCCUGAUAACCUCUUCUCUGCUUCUCAUUUCUGCAUAUGCCAUUUUAUACCAAGUCAUUCAUAUUAAUUGAACGUACUCUUUUUUUUUUUUUAGGGCCCCUCAACAGGUGACCAUAAUGACUUUCUUAAAUGUGCAGAGAGGCUGCAUGAGAUUCCAUCUUACGGAAUAAUAAGUUCACUCCCAAGUAUGACUAAGAGCUAGGUUUCAAAGAGAUAAAUUGAUGUAUCUCAAUCCAUUCCACAACAUUGCUCACCUGAUGUCCUAAUAUUGUUCAAAAUGCUUGCACAUAGUUUUAGUUUUUGUUACUGCCUCAUUAACUAUAGGAAGUAGGCUUGGGCACAUUCUUUCCAAUAAUCAAACACUACCUCCCAGGGUCAUGCUCUUAGAUAAGAGUGAGGGAGGUAGACCCUUUUGUGAAAGAGACAAUGGAAAGACAGAGACAGUAUUGUAGAUUUGCUAAUAAAGGAAAACAAAAGCAUAAAUACUUUCUAUAGCAUCAUUUCCAAGAUACUCUCUAGACUCUCAAUUUCUCACACCAUUCUAGAUUCUGUUUGUCAUUUUGCCCAUGUCUGUUUGCAACACCAUUUUUGUGUUAUUUGAAAGAGUAUGGAUAUAAAUAUGAAUAUUAAGUGAUGGCUUGAUUUGCCUUCAUAAACCAUGGUCUUCCUUUUCUAAUAUGGCUGGUAUAAAGAGGGAAAUCUUUAGUCAAAUAAUCUAUCUUUUUAAAAACAAAGCAUUACCAAAGGAAAAAGAUAAAUUAAACCUCCUCUGUUGCACAAAAACUGCUCUUAUUUUCUAGGAAAACUAAUACAAAAAUUGAUACAGUCUCAUUUCAAGUAAUAAUUAUCACAGCACAUUUUAUCUUAAAUUUCUAUUAAAUUUUUCAACACCUUUUGAUUAUAUGUUCUUGACAAGUUAAGGAUAUAUUUCAACAAUGCUUUAAACUUCAUGACAUGUUUUCUUGGUGCCACAGAAGAAGAAAUUUUAGAGUUAUUAAUUAAGGUACAUAUUUUUAUUUAGUAUGAAAUAAAUUUUAUUUUUGUACAUGGUUUUAAUAAGCAUCUUAUAACACACUGUUUUUGCACGAACCUAUAAUUUACCUUGCUUUGAAAUAAGAAACAAUGGAGAUUGCUGACAUCUACACUUUUGUUACAAAGUAAACAUUGAUCUUCUCUAUAUAACUUUAAAUAGUUAAGAUGUUGUUUUAGGCUAGUAAGAGUCAUGAUGAUUUAUAAGUAUAUCUAACUGAAAGCGAAAUGAAGUGUUGAAAGAAUUUAUGCAGAGAAAGAGUUUUUCAUUUCGCUUUGUUUCCAGAGGUGCUUUAAAAAAUAUUCAUUGGUUUGAAGAAAAGGCCCUUCUCUGGACCAUGUUCCUGAAGGCUUGCUUCACUUGCUGAUUUCGUAGAGUGUAUAUAAAAGGAUUCAAAAGAGGGGCCCCUGAGGUAUUGAGCAGAGCCACUCCUUUGCUUAAAGUCCCCCUUUCCCUUGCCGAAGGCUUAAUGUACAUGAAGAUGCAGCUGCCAUAAGAGAGGGAGACAACUAUCAUGUGGGAGGAGCAUGUGGAAAAGGCUUUUUUCCUUUGACUUGUGGAAGGAAGUCUCAGAAUCGUCCGGACGAUAUAUGUGUAGGAGAGAAUAACUAGUGUUAGCGUGACCAUGAGUGUGACCACAGCUAAAAAAAAUGCCAUGAGUUCUAGAAGGCGAGUGCUGGAGCAGGACAGCUGCAGAAUUGGAGAAGCAUCACAGAUGAAAUGAUCAACUAUAUUGGAGGCACAGAACUCCAACUGCAGCAGCAGGAUUAUUGGUGGAAAGAUGAUCAGGAAUCCUGCAAGCCAUGAGCUGAAGACAAGAAGUGCACAGACUCUGCUGCUCAUGAUGAUGGUAUAAUGGAGAGGUUUGCAGAUGGCCACGUAGCAUCAUAGGACAUGGCGGCCAGGAGGUAAAAUUCUGUCACCCCCAAGAAGAUGAAGAAAAACAGCUGCGCCACACAACCAUCAUAAGAAAUGGUUCUGUCCCCCGUCACGAGAGUGACAAGGAAUCUGGGAAUGCAGACAGACGUGAAGGAUAUUUCUAGGAAUGCGAAGUUCCGAAGGAAGAAGUACAUUGGCGUCUGCAGAUGGGGGUCUGAAAGGGUGAGGGCGAUAAUGGUCAGGUUCCCGGUCACACUCAGCAUGUAGGUAACAAGCAGGAGUGUGAAGAGUACAGCCUGCCACUGCGGAUCAUCCGUCAAUCCAAGAAGAAUAAACUCUGUUACUUCAGUGUAAUUUCUCAUUAUUUUCCUUCUUUGUUUUAGCUGUAAAACAGAUGAAGGUGUAAGAAACCAUAACACCGGCAAAGACACACACACACACGUACACACAUGCACACAUGAUCAUGCACACAUGAAUACACACAGAAAAAUAUUGCUGCCUGGGCUUUUAGAGAAAAAUGAUUUUGUAGUACCCAGAAACAAAAUACUUAAAAUAACUUUGUAAUUCUUAUGCCAUAUAUUAAUUCACUAUCCUACAUUUCCUUCAUUGCAUUCUCACACGUUUCAGUGUAAAUCUCUGUGUGCUAAAUAUUUCAAUAUAGUCCUGAAAACAAGGGAAAAAAGAGGUUGAAAUCUCUGAGAUUGAAACCUCAAAUAAGACUCUGAGAGCUUACCUCCAGCACACCACAAUACUCUUGAAGAUUUUUUUUGUUGCUUUCUUCUUCAUUAUCAUUUUUAAUUUGUUGAUUUCGUAUAAGCAUUUCUUUCUCUUUACCCAUUUGAACUCUUACAGUCUAUGGAGUCAACUCCGGUGUCCAUCUGGUCAAUUAAUGUGUCCCUGAUAAUAGUGUACAGAGAGAGGUAUUUAAUGAGUGUGGGGGGGGUAGGCUCCCUUCUAAUUCCAGUGUCUGCACUGCAAGACAUUCUAGUUUUAAACAGUAAUCUGUUAUAAUGGUGUCUUUAAGGUUGUAAAUAUAUCACUCUUGAAUAUAUUUUUAUUAACUUUAUCUACCGUAUGUCUACUCUAUGUUAUAUAUAUAUAUAUAUAUAAUUUUUACAUAACAUAUAUAAAGUAGUAGUUUUACUUNNNNNNNNNNNNNNNNNNNNNNNNNNNNNNNNNGCUUAUUUCCAAAAAUCAUUUUGGCACUUCUCCACAAUGGUGCCUAUUCUUUUCUUGAUGGAUGAUGAAAGGCAAUAGUUAAUAUUCAAAGUAAGUUUUGGAAAGGCAAAGACCCUUCCUUCCUUCCUCCUUCUUUCCUUCUUUCCUUCCUUCUUCUUUCUUUGUUUCUUUUCUUCUAAUAUAACUCUUGGUAUUACACAGGAUUUGUUUAACUGUUUGCUCCACUAAGCAUCAUAAAAGGAAGUUAUCAUAGUGUGAAACUAUAUGAAAGCUCCUUACAUGCAUCUUGCUAAAUGGAACAAACCAAUAUAUAAAGGCUACAUAAUGUAUGGUGUCAACAAUAUGAUUCUUUCUGAAGCCAUAGUUUAGUGUAAGACAGUAAAAUUUUUUGAUGGAUUCAGGGGUUUGCAAAGGACGGGCUAUGAAUAUCUUCAGUCUAGUGGAUUUUUGGGACAAUGAAAAUAAUCUGUGGAAAAGUAUAAUAUUGGAUCCAUGACAUUUUAUGAUCGUACAAAACCAUAAAUUGCUCAUUCCUAAAAGCAAACUAAGUUAAAAUAUGGACUUUAAAUAUUUAAGUGUCAGUGAUUCAUUACUGGUAACAAAGGCGCCACUGUGAUGGUGGAUGAUGAUAAUGAGGGAGGCUAUGCCUCUGCGGGAGAAAGAGGCUUGUGGGAAAUUUCUGUAUCUUACUCUCAGGUUUGCCCUGAAUCGAAACCUUCUAUAAAAAAAUCUUUAAAAUCUUUUUAACAUAUUGGUAUUAGUGUAUGCACAAUUGAUAAGAUCUUUUAAAGGAUUCAGUGGAUCAAAUAAUAUUUGAAAAUGGGAAACAAGUCAUUAUUUUCCCUUAGAGUGUUAGAUGUGCUGGGAGCUCCCGUCGUGGCUCAGGUUAAGGAAUCUGACUAGGAACCAUGAGGUUGUGGGUUCGAUCCCUGGCCUUGCCCAGUGGGUUAAGGAUCCGGCCUUGCCAUGAGCUGUGGUGUAGGUUGCAGACGCGGCUUGGAUCCCAUGUUGUGGCUCUGGCAUAGGCCGGUGGCAACAGCUCCGAUUAGCUCCCUAUCCUGGGACCCUCCAUAUGUCACGGGAGCAGCCCUAGAAAAGGCAAAAAGCCAAAAAAAAAAAA
rnacentral:lncRNA from 1 species